CUAGAAACCAUAUGAAAAUAUGAAAAUAUAAAGUUAUUUGGUAAAAGUAAAUAUAUGUACAAAUCUAAAACCUGUGUUAUUGCAACUUAGGCUUGUAGCUCCUCUUUUAAUUAUUUUAUAGGAUAUAAAAGACCAAAGCAUAACAAAUAACUAUGUCUAUGUAAAUGGGUACAUGAUAUAAAAAGAUGUAAUUUGUGACAUAAAUAACAUAAAGGAGGGAGUGCAGAGCUGUAAAGGAGUAGUGGUUUUUAAUGAAACUGAAGUUAAAUUGUAAUCAAUUUAAAAUACAUUGUUAUAACCUUAGGAAGUUUUAUGUAAUCACCAUGGUAACCACAAAGAAAAUAUAUACAGAAUACACAAUAGAAAAUGAGAAGGUAAUCAAAACAUGUCACUAUAAAAUAUCAACCAAAUACAAAGAAAGGCAAUAAGAAAAUGAGGGACAAAAAAGCUGUAAGAUAUGCAGAAGACAAAUAACAAAAUCACAGUAGUAAGUCCUUCCCCAUCAGUAUGUUUUAAAUGUAAAUACAUUAGACCCCUCAAUAUAAAGACAUAGAUUGCCAGAGUGAAUAAAACAAAUAGGAUCCAACUAUAUUCUGUCUACAAGUGACUCACUUUAGAUCUAAAAACAUGCAUACAUUGAAAGUGAAAGAAUAGAAAAAGACAUUCCCUGCAAAUAAUAAUCAGAAGAUAGAAGGAGUAGCUAUACUAACACUAGUGUCAUACAAGAUUGACUUUAGUUCAAAAACUGUUACAAGAAACAAAGAACAUUACAUAAUGAUAAAAGAGUGAAUUAACCAAAAAGAUAUAAUAAUUAUAAACAUAUAUGUACUAAACAUCAGAGCUCCUAAGUAUAUGACACAAACAUUGAUAGAAUUAAAUGAGAAAAUAAAUAGCUCUACAAUAAUAGUAAGAGGCUUCAACAGUCAACUUUCGAUAUUAAAUAGAACAACUAAACAGAGGAUAAUAAGGAAAUAAGGGACAAGAACAACACUAUAGGCCAAUUAGACCCAACAGACAUAUAUAGAACAUUCCACCCAACAGUAGUAGAAGACAUUUUUCUCAAGUGCAUAUAGAACAUUGUUCAGGAUAUAUCAUGUAUUAGGCCACAAAACAAGUCUUAAUAAAUUUAAAAAGAUUGAAAUCAUGUAAUGUAUCUUUUCCAAUCACAAUUAAAUAAAACUAGACAUCAAUAGCAGGAGGAAAACUGGAAAAUUCACAAAUACAUGAAAAUUAAAAAACAUACUCUUAGACAACCAAUGGGUCAAAGAAUAAAUCACAAGAGAAAUUAGAAAAUAUCUCAAGACAAGAUAUUUUUUGUUUCGUUAUUAUGAAAACAAAAAAAUACCAACUGAUGAGAUGCAGCAAAACAAUGCUAAAAGGGAAACUUGUAGUUAUAAACAUUUCCAUUAAAAAAAAAGUGCCCCAAUGAACAUAUGUGUGCAUGUGUCUUUAUGGUAGAAUAUUUACAUUCCUUUGGGUAAAUACUCAAUAAUGGGUCAAUAGUGGGUCAAUAAUGCUGAGUCAAAUAGCAAUUAUAUUUUAAGUUAUUUCAGAAAUUGCCAAACUGCUUUCCACAGUGGCUUUACUUACAAUAACAAAGACGUGGAAUCAACCUAAAUGCCCAUCAAUGAUAGACUGGGUAAAAAAAAAAAUGUGGCACACAUACACCAUGGAAUACUAAGCAGCCAUUAAAAAUAAUAUGAUCAUGUCCUUUGCAGGGACAAGAGCAGAGCUGGAGGCCAUUAUUCUAAGUUAAUUAACACAGGAACAGAAAACCAAAUACGGCAUGUUCUCACUUAUGAGUGAUAGCUAAACAUCAAGUACACAUGGACACAAAGAAGAAAACAACAGACACUGGGGCCUAUGUGGGGGCAGAAGGUAGGAGGAGGGUAAGGGUAAAAAAAACUGCCUAUCCUGUGCUAGGUUUGUUGUCCCGGUGACAAAAUUAUCUGCACAACAAACCCCUGGGACAUGUAAUUUACCUAUAUAACAAACCUGUUAUAUAAUUACCUAUGUAACAAACCUUAGGUUCAUGUACCCCUGAACCUAAGCUAAAACUUAAGAAAACAGUGCUCCCAGAUGGCCAUAUGUAUAGCUGUGCUGCAGAGAGACAUAGAGGAGCACCCCCACCCUCACCCACUGCCCUGGACCCUUGUAAUCACCCCACUUCCUAUAGAAUGGAAGAAAAUUUUUGCAAUCUACCCAUCUGACAAAGGGCUAAUAUCCAGAAUCUACAAAGAACUAAAACAGAUUUACAAGAAAAAAACAAACAACCCCAUCAAAAAGUGGGUUUGUCAUAGAUAGCUCUUAUUAUUUUGAGAUACGUCCCAUCAAUAUCUAAUUUAUUGAGAAUUUUUAGCAUGAAGGGCUGUUGAAUUUUGUCAAAGGUCUUUUCUACAUCUAUUGAGAUAAUCAUGUGGUUUUUGUCUUUGGUUCUGUUUAUAUGCUGGAUUAUGUUUAUUGAUUGGCAUGUGUUGAACCAGCCUUGCAUCCCAGGGAUGAAGCCCACUUGAUCAUGGUGGAUAAGUUUUUGAUGUGCUGCUGGAUUUGGUUUGCCAGUAUUUUAUUGAGGAUUUUUGCAUCAGUGUUCAUCAGGGAUAUUGGUUUAAAAUUCUCUUUUUUUGUUGUGUCUCUGCCAGGCUUUGGUAUCAGGAUG
rnacentral:lncRNA from 1 species